UCUGGGGUUUCACCCCAGGCUAUCAAAGGCCGCCCCUUCGGGGCU
rnacentral:sRNA from 1 species